rnacentral:rRNA from 1 species
CGAAAGCCUGACGGAGCAAGACCGCGUGGGGGAGGAAGGCUCUUGGGUUGUAAACCCCUUUUCUCAAGGAAGAAGUUCUGACGGUACUUGAGGAAUCAGCCUCGGCUAACUCCGUGCCAGCAGCCGCGGUAAUACGGAGGAGGCAAGCGUUAUCCGGAAUGAUUGGGCGUAAAGCGUCCGCAGGUGGCCGUUCAAGUCUGCUGUCAAAGCCAGGGGCUCAACUCCUGACCGGCAGUGGAAACUGAACAGCUAGAGUGCGGUAGGGGCAGAGGGAAUUCCCGGUGUAGCGGUGAAAUGCGUAGAGAUCGGGAAGAACACCGGUGGCGAAAGCGCUCUGCUGGGCCGCAACUGACACUCAGGGACGAAAGCUAGGGGAGCG